rnacentral:lncRNA from 1 species
CAUCUCCCAUGAAAUAAAACACACACACAAAAGGAGAUGUAACCAAAAAAAGAAGAAAAACGGGCAGAAGCUGGAAACGAGAAGUUCUACCCGGGUGAGGUCCAUUCGAGGUCGUUAUUGAGAUUGCGAGCAGAUUCGAGUUUAGUUUGGUUUUAAAGUUUCCGGGCAGAUUUUCUUCCGUUUUGAGUUCGUCGUUGUUUCGAUCCGGUUAGUUGAUUUAAGUUUCAUUUCUAUCCGUAUUUUUUUUUAUAUUCUCGGAUCUGAAAUCAGUAUAUGUUUGAUUAUUUUUCUUGUUCGUUGUUUAUUAUUUUCUUGAUUAUUUCUUCAGUUUGUUUGAUUCAUUUGCUCCUGUUUACUUUUAAUAUAGAAAUAUUUUAGUUUAAUCACUUGAAUUUUUUAUCUUGAUUGGAAUGUCGUUAGAUUUAAUGGGAAGUUCGAUUGAUGAUUAAGUUUAGUGAGUUGAAUUUGUUUUAUUGUUCUGUUAAGUUUAAUUUGCAUCUGAGUUAUAGAUUUGAAUUUGUUUGUUUGAUCUGUUUAGCGAUUUGAAUUUACUUGUUUGUUAUUGAUGUUGAAUCUGAAAGUAUGUUUGUUGUUAAAAAUGUUGUUCAGUCAAAAUAAUUUUUAGUUGGUUCUUGGUUGUUCAUCAUAUAAUUUGAAUUUGUUGAUUGAAUUUGAUUAAGAAUUGGUUAUAGUUUCUAUAUUUUGGUUAAUUGAUUUAGGUGAGUUGGUUAUAGCUGUGAGGGGUAGAAUAGUAAUCUUUAGUAGUUUCAGGGGUAAUAUGGGAAUUGAAAUAUAAGGAAUUGUUUCAUAAUAAUGAUGUGAGGCAAGAUGUGGGGAGCAUAAUGAUGUAAAGUAAAAUGGAGUAAUGAUAAAAGGUCUUCUUUGACCACUAAAAGGGGUGGGACCGUGGGGUCCAUGUUGACUACUUUUACCUAAUUGAAAAUCAGAAAUAAUAUGUGUAAUAAUAAAAGGGGUAGUAAUAAUAGUUAAAAGAAUAGGAAAAAUGGUCUUGCCUUUUGGGUGUAUAAUAGGACUCAUCUUAUACUUAUUCGGGGGAAUUUAGAGAAAAUAUUUCAAUACUAGAGGGAAAUAAAAACUUCAGAACUUAAAUUCCGUCUUUAAGAAUUAAAACUCAAAGUGAAGUCUUUAUUUACUGCUAAAAAUUAGAACACUAUGACUACUUCUGUGGUUUAUAUUUGGCAUUGUUGAUUUUCAGAUUGAAUUCUUGGGUUCCUUCUUGGGUUCUGAUUUUAGUGUUGCUGUUGGAUUAUUUUUUAAUCUGUUUAUUGGAUGUGGAAUCAUAUCUAUUGGUUUUAAAAUAUGUCCCUGGGUGUUCAAUUUGCUACUGUUGUUGCUAUUUGCUAUUGUUGCUUUGCUACUGCUGAUCCUUUUCUUCUCCUCUCCUAUUUCUCUAAUCCAGGUAUUCACUUGAGUUAAAUAGUGGUGUAACUCUGCAGUUGAGCAUGAGUUAUGAAAUAUUGUACCUCUAGUUUAAUAGAUAAAAAUGAUUAUUAGUUAUGUAAUUAUUGGUUUAUAAUUCAACAUAAAUGCAUUAGGUAGUUUAUACUUAACUAAAGCUUUAUUUGUUUUAAAACUGCAAUUUGUAGUUGUUUAGUUAUAUAUUUAAUAUAGUUAUGUGAUUGUACGAAUGAACAUGUAGUUAGUCGAUCGAUAACUAGAUUUCAUCCUUAGCCGUCUUUUACAUAUAUAAGGUAAUUCGAAUCACCCUUAAUUCAAAUUGGUAAAUAGCUGAUAUGGAGAAUCGAUUUAACUUAAUUGGUUGAUAAGAUCUAGCUCUGAACUUGGAAAUAUUGGAAUAGAAGUAAUUUGAAAUUGCUGAUCUUUGAAUCUUGUUAGUAACAGAGAUCCGCAAGUAUUAGGCAAAUAUAAUUGGUUAUUAAUUUUGUAGGAUCAAGAUGUAGCAAGGGAUAAUGUUAAUUUAAUAGGCAUGAUUUGAG